rfam:Myotis davidii contig320988, whole genome shotgun sequence.
GGCGGUUCUCGCGUGACGCAUCCAGGAAUCAGGCUCCCUCCUCUCUGGUUCUGGAUACAUCACCUGAGAACCGUA